ACCUAGCUAGGGGAGGUUGGGAGGCUGAGGUGCUGAGGAGGAGGAGGAGGAGAGACCUAGCUGGGUUAGGGCCGGUGGAGGUGCGGCUCGGCUCGCUGUGAGGGGUGAGGGUCUGCUUUGGGAUCGGACUCUGGGGAAGGAGCUACCGGUUGGGGAGGUACCGCCGUCCGCCGUCCCACGGCAACCGCCUCCCCCAGGCGCGACAGCCCCGGGUCUAGGCGUUGGCGUAGGCGUAGAAGCAUAAGAGAGAGAACGGCCGAGGCUGUCUCUCUGUUUGAAGGUUUAGAGAGAGCGACGCCCGCCCGCCCGCCCCUACCUCUCGGGGUGUAGCCGCCGUAGCGCCCACCUGAAGAUGCCGAAGGAGCUGGCGUACGCGGCGGGCCUCCGGCGGCCGGAGAAGGCGAGGUAGUUCUCGAAGGAGUGGAGGUAGAGGGAGCUGCUCGGGUCGCGGCUCCGCCUGCUGCGGUCCCAGGUCCGGAAGAAGCGCCUCUACCUCCGCCGGUAGGCCCCCGUGGGCGAGACCCGGCUGCGGUGGGUGGUCCUUUAGCUGGUGUGCGAGCUCCGAGCGGCCUCCUGCGCCGGCGGCUGCGGCUCCAGAGUCCUGUUCUAGCCGGAGGACGUCGCGAAACAGUCCGGGGUAGUGGAGCUGUAUGGGUUCAUAGCCGCUGUUGUUCUUCCGGACCUUCUGGCCUGUGACGUCUAUACACGUCAGCGACGGUUCGAAACACUAUAACAAUCAGAUGGUCUAUUAAAGACUAUAACGGAAAACCACUAUUGUCCCGUGACUUCUAUUUCGAAUGUCUUUCUUUUUUUCUAGAACUCCACCGGAAAGAAGCCGUACUACAAUUAUAUGACUACAAUUGUAUACGUAGAUGACAUGAGGACACGUACUACAAUUAUUUGACUACCUGACUUGUCCCGGAAGCUCAUGUUCUCCGACAACGAACUGAUAUUGUCGCUCGUGCUGGUUGUUCAAGGCGGUCGCGCUCCGUUCGCUGGCUCCACCAACGACGACACUAGCUCCACCGACGACGACGUGUUAUCAAAAUCAACUACAACGGUGGUACAAAACCACAGAAACAUAAACAAAGACUAACAUACAUGUGAACUACCUAGCACGUCUACACGACAACA
rnacentral:rRNA from 1 species